GGUGGAUUACUGUCUGUUAAAAGUAGAAUAAAUAGCUUGCUUUUAUGUUUUCCAUGUUGAUCAGAACUCAGUUUCUCCACAUUGGAGCUUCCUUUGGAAGGGUCUAUACUGUGAUCCAGCUGCUGGUGUCUUACUGCUCACUUUUCUUGUGGCACAGGUGCUUUGGCUGGUGGCGGGGUGGGUGGCUAAACCUAAGGAGACUUGGCGGGGGCGUUGUCGUGGGGUUCAGCUGCCAUGGAAACAGCAGCCUGAGGUGAGAGUCAGGGAAGAGGAAGGCUGUUGGUCUCUGCCCCAUAUUCUAGCGAACCAGGUUCUGUUGCAGAGUUGCCACGUGACUUCCUUGGCACACUCUGGUGCAUGAUUCUUUCCUCCCUUAGGUCACAUUGCAGUUUUGAACUUGGCAUUUAAAGGAUGAUGGAGGUAGGCAGGAAGGACUAUCCUAUCUAAACCGUGCCAUCCUAUUACUACCCGAGGAAUGGAUUGGGAGCGUCCUUGCGCCGUUUCUGCUCAAAUGGCAAGAAUGCAGUCAUGGGUGGCCUGCAUCUUUUUCUAGUGAUGUUUUCAACCUGAGCCUUCCAAAGGUGGUGUUUGCCCUGAGGUGGUGUGAGGCUGUUGCCAUUCUAGAUGCCACUCUCCACCAUCUUGCCUGCUCCCGUGUUCGUUGAAGAGCUGGCGCUUCAUCUACACUCUUCCUCUCGAACCUGAGCCACACCAGCCCUUAGCUGACUUGAGUCACCAGCACUCAGAUUGGAAAUCAGUCCGUGGUUAAUCAUCAGCAUCCUCAGCAUCACACUCUGCUUCUCUCUGACCAAACAUCAUCCUCGGAUCAACCCACUUUUGUCUCUCUCCUUCUGGAACCCUGGGACUUUCUGGAGGAAACACUACUCACUAGGCGACACACCCAGCACAGAGCCCGACUCAGGGCUGAGCUCACGACCCUGAGAUCAAGACCUGAGCUGAGAUCAGAUUUGGAUGCCCAACCGACUGAGCCCCCAGGCACCCAUCACCUUCUCUGUGUGUUUAAGUCCACAGCACGGGGGCAUCAAGCACAUUCACUGUCAUGCAGCCACCACCGUCUCCAGUACAGGUCACCUUGCAGAACGGUAAGCCUCCGUCCCAUCCCCGCAGCCCUGGCUCCCACCGUUCACCGUCUGCCUUGGCGAAUGUGACCAUUGCGGGUGCCUCACAUGUGAGUGCCUCCUGCGGGGUCUUUCCCUUUGUGACCUUCACAUCUCAGAAUGUUCUCCGGGUCUGUCCAUGUGGGAGCAGGCAUCAGAAUUAGUGUGGUAUGUACGCAUCGCAUCUUGCCUGUCCGUUCUUGUCUCAGUGGCCGCUCGAGACUGCUUCGAUGUUGUGAAUAAUGCUGCCAUGCACACAGGUGCACAGAUAAGCAGGUAUUUUGUAGUCAGGAAAAGUAGCAGGGGUGCCUGGCUGGCUCAGUCGGCAGAGCAUGCGAUUCUUUCUCUGGGGGUUGUGAGUUCGAGCCUCACCUUGGGUCCAGAUCCUACUUCAAAGUGAGAGAGUAGCAAAUGAAGGUCUUGGGGCACCCAGAUCAUCUGUGUUGAAUUUGUACGUCCCCACCUCAGUCCUCAUGCUCUAUCAGGGCUUCUGAACACUUAGACAACAGUAGCAUUUCCCUGCCAGAAGGGAAAAUUAGAACCUGGACACUCUCCCCCCGCUUGAAAGCCUGAUGGCCGCACAGGGUUAGCUGCGCUCACGUGCUCCACCUGCUUCCUCCGGGAGUCCUUCCUGUCCUUCCCUUGCUGGGCAAUGGUGACUCCAGCCCUGACGCUGUCCCCAGAGAGGCUGGUGCUGUGCCUACACCCUCCUUCCCUGUCCUUCCAAGCUAUGUCGGCUGUCUGUCUGUCUGUUUCCCCAGUGAACUGUAUGGAAGACAGAACAGCCACAGGUCAGUUCACCAGCUACCUGGGGCUCCCUGUGGUCACCGCCCUGCAGGGUGCCUGGGACUCGGGGACAGGCAGGGCGAGCAGUGCAGGGCACGCUUCACCCAAGCCUCUUCAGGUAGAGGAGGUCCUGUGGGAGCUCGCUCACUUGGUGGGAAGCACAGCACUCGAGGCAUAAAAGACCCUCCAGGGGCACCUGGGUGGCUCAGUGCAUUAAGCAUUGGACUCUUGGUUUAGGUUUUUGUUUUUUUUUUUACUUAUGAUAGUCACCGAGAGAGAGAGAGAGAGAGAGAGAGAGAGAGAGAGAGAGAGAGAGGCAGAGACACAGGCAGAGGGAGAAGCAGGCUCCAUGCACCGGGAGCCCGACGUGGGAUUCAAUCCCGGGUUUCCAGGAUCGCACCCUGGGCCAAAGGCAGGCGCUAAACUGCUGCGCCACCCAAGGAUCCCUUGGUUUAGGUUUAGAUCAUGAUCUCAGGGUCGUGAGAUUGAGUCCCUCGUUGGGCUCCACGCUCAGUGCAGAGUCAGCUUGAGAUUCUUUCCUUCUGCCCCCUCCCCCUGCUCUCUCACUCUCUCUCAAAUAAACACAAUUUUUUAUUUUUUUUUUAAGUUUUAUUUAUUUAUGAUAGUCACAGAGAGAGAGAGAGAGAAAGAGGCAGAGACAUAGGCAGAGGGAGAAGCAGGCUCCCUGCACCGGGAGCCCGACGUGGGAUUCGAUCCCGGGUCUCCAGGAUCGCACCCUGGGCCAAAGGCAGGCGCCAAACCGCUGCGCCACCCAGGGAUCCCAAACACAAUUUUUUAAAAAAGCCCCUUGAACUGAUGUAGUCCAACUACUUGAGAUACCCAGGCCAGGUGUCCAGGCAUGAGGCUGAACUGAAAAAAGUGCCUUUCCUGCCACCUGGCAGCCCCCAGCAGGGCUGGCCUGAGCCAGCUGUGGGGCACUGACCCGUCCUCAAAAGCCUUUGGUGGGCUCUGCUCCCCUCUGCCAGCUGGCUCUCGCUGCCCCUGCAGGCUCUCCUCGGACACCCAGAUGUGCCUCCUCUCUGCCUGCCUUCUUGCCUCCGUCAGGUCUUCCUCCCCAGGCUCUGCCUCUGCACACGGGCCCUCACUGCCGCCCCCAGUGCCCCCCAGCACUGCAGCCCCCAGAAGUCCACCCCCUUCUCUGCAGUCGUGGUCCUGGUUCCCGGUGCCUGCCCACCCACCCGUGCGUGUUUAUGGUGCUGGCGCAGGGCUCUGGGCUGGUGUGUGUACAGGGCCUCUCUCCCCUCUCCCCUCCUCUUCCUCUCCUCCCUUCCCUUCCCUUCUCCACCCCCCCCCCGCGCCAUCCCCUCCCUCCUCCCCCUCCUCCCUCUGCCACCCUGUACCCCCAUGCUACCUGAGCCAGGAGGAAGGGCCCAGGGAUGCAUGCUCUUCAGUACUGGUGACCUUUGGCACGGCUCUGAGAGCACAGAGAAUUGAAGACCAGCCUCUGUGUGGAACUGGAGCAAGUUGGGGAGUAAGGGAGGGCCGGGAGCCGGAAGGAGGCUGGCACCCACCCGUGGGUCACUGGGAGAAGUGCACCAAAGCUGCUCCUGCCGGUUAGGGAGCUGGAAGCUGCUUCCAGAAGCACGGGGUUAUCUCUUACACGUACAGUGAACUGAACAGAGUUCUUUCUUGGAGAAGGAGGAACAAACACCCCUCCUUGCUCGUCGCUGCCUCUGCAGCUGUGCGCCUGCCAUUCCCCGCUUGCUGCACCCCCCUCUCCCUUCUCGCUCCUUCCUUCCCUCCCGCGCCUCCCAUGUCCCUCUCCACCUCUGUUGUUGGCCCUGCCCUGUCCCUGUGGUCUGCCUCCCCUGCGGCUCCCCACAGACCCUCUUUCACACGGAGGCCGUGUCUGUACAUUCCACACCUGUGUCUGCCAGCCACGGCGCUCUGUGUUAUUAAUAGAGCCAGUAGAUGACUUAGGGCUUGGAGCUUUUUAUUCUCCUAGAAAAAUUCCAGCUGGUUAUUUUUUUUCAGUCAACGGGUUUUCAUUGAUUUUCCUCCCCAUGGAUCAAUGAUCUUGUACCAAAAAGCUCACCACCACCCUGAGAAAUGCAGGCCUGGGCAGGAGCCCCAGAGCCUCAGAGGUCUGUGUUUGCAAAGCGGAGCCCCGGCCCUUUUGCUCGCCCUUACAGCCCACACCCCGGCACACACCUGAACUGGGCACCCACCUCCUUCCUCCCCGUCCAGUUAUCCAGCCGGCGCGCAAGCAGAGUUAGGUCUCUGAGGCACUUUGCUCUCCUAGCCUCAUGCUGGGUCCUGCGCCGCUUAUGGGAAGGCAGAGACCAGGUCAGGACCAUCCCUCACGCUCCCUGGUAGCUGGGGUUCUGGACGACAGUCGGGUUCCUUCCAUCAGAUGCCCUAUUUGGAAGGCAGACGUUAAGGGUAGGCUUUGGGGUAUAUGGGCGGGUGCCGUGUGCCCAUUACAGGCUGAACGGCUGUGUGAGGAACCGGGAGGCAGAGGCCCCUCUCCACACGAGGCUUCCCCAGGACAGGUUUUCUGGGCAUCACCAGGAGGGCCUCUGCGCCCCGGGGCCUGGGCAGUCGCUACAGUAGCGCCUGCACUGCUUUCUGAUCCCUGCACCUCCCUCCCCCCACUCCUGUGCUGCACAUGCUUGGCUCUGGGCCUGGUGGUGGCCUCCUGGUUCCCCACCUUCUGACCUGAGACCUUUCUGGCAGCUCAGCCAUUCCUGGGUCCCUGGCGACAAUUCUGUAAGCCAUUGUCCCUUUGAAAUAUCACCCCUGCAAAGAACCCACUAAGGGCUGGAUGUCUGGGUCCCUGCUGGAGGCCUGCGUUGCAGCCUAACCCCAUUGGAGGGCAUGAGGAGGCCAGGCCUUUGUGGGGGAGUGGGUUGUGUGGGUGGAACCCUCCCCGAAUUGGUUAGUGCCCUUGUGAGUGAGACCCCAGAGAGCUCCUCUGCUCCUUCAGCUGAAUGAGGUCACCAUGCAGCCUCCAGGACCAUGAGAACUAGUGUUGUGGGUGAGCCUCCCCCCCCCCGCCCCAUGGUUACGGUAGCCCCAGAGGACCAUCCACCCCUCCCCGUUUCCAGGUUGGGGUGCCUGUUGGUUCUCCCCAUUUGAUUGUCAGCUGCUUGAGCACGGGCAUUGUGCAUUAGUGGUGCCCCUGCAAAGAGCUCACUCAAAGCUUGCUGAGGAAAAGCUGGGGUCAGCUGCCCCCCACCAGCCCCCCAUGCCCCAACAGCAGCAUGUCUGGCUGCAGUGGUCACUUGGGAACUGGACUGAGGGUCACAGCCCCUCCGGGAGCCUCUGCCUUCCAAUUCCCAAUGCAGAUGGCCCUUGGCGUCAGGGAGGGGACAGAGCAAACCAAACCACCGCCACUUGGUACCUGGAAUUCAGCCUGUUAUCCUUGCAGGUGCCUGGUGUUGCUUCAGGCUGUUGAGACCCUGGCCUUGGACUAAAUCGCAGAUUGGUUUUACAGAGUUCUGAUCCCACAAACAACCCAAACCCAUCCUAGAAUCCAGGAACUCUGGAGGAAAACCAGGGUCAUGGGUGUGUCUCUGUGUCCUGAGGGCAGAUUUCUAGACAGACCACAGAAAGAACUCUGGAACCUAAGUCAGCUUACAAGUUGUAAAACAAGUACAGGCUAUUUCUGGAGGGAUCACGGGGAGGUGAGGGAGCCGCCUGGAUCGACCCGGGAGGUCAGUGGGGCGGUCAGCAUGAGGAGACUUCCUGGAGGCAGUUCCUCCACCGGGGCGUCUCUCCUGUGUCCAGCUUCAAGACGAGCUCAGAGUGUGUGGCAAAGACGGUGCAGGGCACCUGGGUGGCUUGAGCAUCUGCCUUUGGCCCAGGCCAUGAUCUCAGGGUCCUGGGAUCCAGGCCCGCAUCAGGCUCCCUGCUCAGUGGGGAGUUUGCUUCUCCCCCUGCCUCUGCCCCUCCCUGCUGCUUGUGUGCGCUCUCUCAAAAAAAUAAAUAAAAUCUUUAAAAAAAAAAAGGCAAAUUAAGUGGGACAGAACGUAGGAAGAGAGCGAACCGAGCAGCCUGUACCUGUGUUGGCAUGAGAGCAUGCGUGGCUGGGGCCCCUGUCUCUGGAGCCUUUCCUGGUUGUGGAGGGAAAUGCUGUGGGGGACACUGCACCCCCGCAUCUGGUGGUGCUCUGACCAAGGCUUUGUGUGGAGGCAGGGAGCAUUGGCCCGCAGCCCGAGACCUGAAUCCUGUUUAUCUCUGCUGCUAACCCCCUGUGUGCCCUCUGGGUUGAAGUAUUUAUUUUAUGGCAUCUAUGAGAAGUAUCCACCCCCACCCCCAUCACAACGUGGCCCAUUUCUGCUAGUUUUUUUUUUAAGAUUUUUAUUUAUUUAUUUAUUCAUUCAUGAGAGAGACACACACAGAGAGAGAGAGAGAGAGAGAGAGAGAGAGGCAAAGACAGACACAAGGCAGAGGGAGAAGCAGGCUCCAUGCAGGGAGCCCGACAUGGGACUCAAUCCUGGGUCUCCAAGAUCAGGCCCUGGGCUGAAGGUGGCGCUAAACCGCUGAGCCACCCUGGCUGCCCUCUGCUAGUUUUUACCUGGGCUUUCAUCUCUAAUUUGCAGUAGCAUCCUGGAGCUCAGGGCCCAAGGUGGGGAGCCUGCGGACCAAGGAGCACCCCGCAGCCAGACUGGGGCAGGGGCUCCAUCUAACCUGCUUCUGUGGGUGGAGUCACCUGGCUAUGGAGGCCGUCCUCUUGGGAGAUAGCUUUCUCUUGGGAGAUUGGUCACUAACCUGGCUGGGUGUCAGGUGCCUCAGUCAUCCUGAGGGGCCAGUUAGUGAACAAUCUCCCAAGAGAAAGCUAUCUCCCAUGAGGAUGGCCAGGGGUCAGCUGUCUUUCUCCCCGUGCCCAGCCAGCGCACAGGAAAUGCAGAAAAUGUUGGUUGAUCCAAACAGAGGUGCUCGACAGUGAGUGGGCAGUCAGUUGCUUUGAAGCCGGGUCCAGGCCAUACCUAACAGGUGUGUGAGCAGGUGCUAUGCUGCAGACAGGUGCUGCUGCUGCCUGCUGUGGUGAGCCCUGGCAGCUGGCACAGGGGGCUCUGCUGGGUAGUGACAGCUGGACCUAGCUGGAGCCCGUUCGGGAUGGGGCUCGCAGGUGGGUGCUUAGCAAGCUCAAGUGGCUGGUAUAACCACGCUGGGUGCAGCAGGCAGGCAGCUGGGUGAAACACUGAGACGAGCAGAACGGUGGGGGUUUGGAGCCGUGGGACAUUGUCUCCAGUGCACCUGGGCAGGCGGCCAGAGCCCUGCUGGCUGCAUCAACCUCAGGAGCGUCGUCCCCCAGGUCUCUGGAUUCAACCUUCAUUCUUACUCCAGGAAGGCCUCCAGGGGCUGUUGGCUGGGUGCCAGGUGCCUCAGUCGUCCUGAGGGCCUGGGUACCAUUCCCACCAUUUCACGCAGGAAGAAACUAAAACCCAGAGAAGAGGGAUCCCUGGGUGACGCAGUGGUUUAGCGCCUGCCUUUGGCCCAGGGCGUGUUCCUGGAGACCCGGGAUCGAAUCCCACCUCGGGCUCCCGGUGCAUGGAGCCUGCUUCUCCCUCUGCCUGUGUCUCUGCUUCUCUCUCUAUCUGUGUGACUAUCAUAAAUAAAUAAAAAUUUAAAAUAUAUAUAUAUAUAUAUAUU